GCAGUGGUGGUUCGGUGGUAAAAUUCUUGCCUCCCAUGCAGGAGACUAGGGUUGGAUUCCCAGCCAACGCG
rnacentral:tRNA from 1 species